rnacentral:rRNA from 1 species
UACAGAGGGUGCGAGCGUUGUUCGGAUUCAUUGGGCGUAAAGGGUGCGUAGGUGGCGCCAUAAGUCAGGUGUGAAAUCUCGGGGCUCAACUCCGAAACUGCACUUGAUACUGUGGUGCUCGAGUACUGGAGAGGAGAUUGGAAUUUACGGUGUAGCAGUGAAAUGCGUAGAUAUCGGAAGGAACGCCGGUGGCGAAAGCGACGUGCUGGACCUCUUCUGACGCUGAGGCGCGAAAGCUAGGGGAGCAAACGGG